rnacentral:rRNA from 1 species
UACAGAGGGAGCAAGCGUUGUCCGGAAUCAUUGGGCGUAAAGCGCGCGUAGGUGGCCAUGUAAGUCCGCCGUGAAAGUCCAGGGCUCAACCCUGGAAUGCCGGUGGAAACUGUCGGGCUGGAGUCCGGAAGAGGCGAGUGGAAUUCCUGGUGUAGCGGUGAAAUGCGCAGAUAUCAGGAGGAACACCAAUGGCGAAGGCAGCUCGCUGGGACGGUACUGACGCUGAGACGCGAAAGCGUGGGGAGCAAACAGG